UGGGGAAUAUUGCGCAAUGGGCGAAAGCCUGACGCAGCGACGCCGCGUGAGGGAUGAAGGUUUUCGGAUCGUAAACCUCUGUCCGAAGGGAAGAAACCGCACUGUGCUAAUCAGCAGUGCCUUGACGGUACCUUCAAAGGAAGCACCGGCUAACUCCGUGCCAGCAGCCGCGGUAAUACGGAGGGUGCAAGCGUUAAUCGGAAUUACUGGGCGUAAAGCGCACGUAGGCUGCUUUGUAAGUCAGGGGUGAAAUCCCACGGCUCAACCGUGGAACUGCCUUUGAUACUGCUUAGCUUGAAACCGGGAGAGGGUGGCGGAAUUCCAGGUGUAGGGGUGAAAUCCGUAGAUAUCUGGAGGAACAUCAGUGGCGAAGGCGGCCACCUGGACCGGUAUUGACGCUGAGGUGCGAAAGCGUGGGGAGCAAACAGG
rnacentral:rRNA from 1 species